CGAUAACGGCGUCGAGCGGCGGACGGGUGAGUAAUGCCUAGGAAAUUGCCCUGAUGUGGGGGAUAACCAUUGGAAACGAUGGCUAAUACCGCAUAACGCCUACGGGCCAAAGAGGGGGACCUUCGGGCCUCUCGCGUCAGGAUAUGCCUAGGUGGGAUUAGCUAGUUGGUGAGGUAAGGGCUCACCAAGGCGACGAUCCCUAGCUGGUCUGAGAGGAUGAUCAGCCACACUGGAACUGAGACACGGUCCAGACUCCUACGGGAGGCAGCAGUGGGGAAUAUUGCACAAUGGGCGCAAGCCUGAUGCAGCCAUGCCGCGUGUGUGAAGAAGGCCUUCGGGUUGUAAAGCACUUUCAGUCGUGAGGAAGGUAGUGUAGUUAAUAGCUGCAUUAUUUGACGUUAGCGACAGAAGAAGCACCGGCUAACUCCGUGCCAGCAGCCGCGGUAAUACGGAGGGUGCGAGCGUUAAUCGGAAUUACUGGGCGUAAAGCGCAUGCAGGUGGUUUGUUAAGUCAGAUGUGAAAGCCCGGGGCUCAACCUCGGAAUUGCAUUUGAAACUGGCAGACUAGAGUACUGUAGAGGGGGGUAGAAUUUCAGGUGUAGCGGUGAAAUGCGUAGAGAUCUGAAGGAAUACCGGUGGCGAAGGCGGCCCCCUGGACAGAUACUGACACUCAGAUGCGAAAGCGUGGGGAGCAAACAGGAUUAGAUACCCUGGUAGUCCACGCCGUAAACGAUGUCUACUUGGAGGUUGUGGCCUUGAGCCGUGGCUUUCGGAGCUAACGCGUUAAGUAGACCGCCUGGGGAGUACGGUCGCAAGAUUAAAACUCAAAUGAAUUGACGGGGGCCCGCACAAGCGGUGGAGCAUGUGGUUUAAUUCGAUGCAACGCGAAGAACCUUACCUACUCUUGACAUCCAGAGAACUUUCCAGAGAUGGAUUGGUGCCUUCGGGAACUCUGAGACAGGUGCUGCAUGGCUGUCGUCAGCUCGUGUUGUGAAAUGUUGGGUUAAGUCCCGCAACGAGCGCAACCCUUA
rnacentral:rRNA from 1 species